GAGCAUAGCUCAGCUGGUUAGAGCACCUGCCUUACAAGCAGGGGGUCACUGGUUCGAGUCCAGUCG
rnacentral:tRNA from 1 species